CGGCUGCUCAGUACCCCGUAGUCAACUUACCCUAUGGACGAGGAUAAUCUCGGGAAACUGAGCAUAAUACUCGAUAGAUCAUAAUGCCUGGAAUGGUUUAUGGUUGAAAUGAUUCAUCGCCAUAGGAUGGGACUGCGGCCUAUCAGCUUGUUGGUGAGGUAAUGGCCCACCAAGGCGAUUACAGGUACGGGCUCUGAGAGGAGAAGCCCGGAGAUGGGUACUGAGACAAGGACCCAGGCCCUAUGGGGCGCAGCAGGCGAGAAAACUUUGCAAUGUGCGAAAGCACGACAAGGUUAAUCCGAGUGAUUUCUGCUAAAGAAAUCUUUUGCAAGUCAUAAAACCACUAGUGAAUAAGGGGUGGGCAAGUUCUGGUGUCAGCCGCCGCGGUAAAACCAGCACCUCAAGUGGUCAGGAGGAUUAUUGGGCCUAAAGCAUCCGUAGCCGGCUCUGUAAGUUUUCGGUUAAAUCCAUGUGCUCAACGCAUGGGCUGCCGAAAAUACUGCAUAGCUAGGGAGUGGGAGAGGUAGACGGUACUCGGUAGGAAGGGGUAAAAUCCUUUGAUCUAUCGAUGACCACCUGUGGCGAAGGCGGUCUACCAGAACACGUUCGACGGUGAGGGAUGAAAGCUGGGGGAGCAAACCGGAUUAGAUACCCGGGUAGUCCCAGCUGUAAACGAUGCAGACUCGAUGAUGCAUUGGCAUAUAGCCAGUGCAGUGUCGCAGGGAAGCCGUUAAGUCUGCCGCCUGGGAAGUACGUACGCAGUAUGAAACUUAAAAGGAAUUGGCGGGGAGCAG
rnacentral:rRNA from 1 species